rnacentral:rRNA from 1 species
AGUGAACGCUGGCGGUAUGCCUAAUACAUGCAAGUCGAACGGACGCACAGUAAGAGUUCGCCUUUACGGUUGGCGAGUGGCGGAUGGGUGAGGCGUACAUCGGCAUCCACUAUUACGUGGGGAAUAUCGUAGGGCCACUUCUGCUAAUACCGCAUAUGAUGUACGGCAGAAUGCAAAGGUUCAUGACGGUUUGCGUGACACAAUUAGACGAUGUCGGAUUAGCUAGUUGGCGAGGUAAAGGCCCACCAAGGCGACGAUCCGUAGCUGGUCUGAGAGGAUGAUCAGCCACACUGGAACUGAGACACGGUCCAGACUCCUACGGGAGGCAGCAGUAGGGAAUAUUGGGCAAUGGGCGCAAGCCUGACCCAGCCAUGCCGCGUGAGUGAAGAAGGCCUUCGGGUCGUAAAGCCCUGUUAUUGGGAAAGAAAAGCAGCAGAUUAAUACCCCGCUGUUCUGACGGUACCCAAAGAGUAAGCACCGGCUAACUUCGUG